GGGGCUGCCCUGUUGGUUGAUGAGGGAGGUGUGGUUGGUUGUGUGUUGGAGCACAGAGCAUAUCUUGGUGGGGCCCUUUUUCCUGUGAAGUGGUUGCACUGUAUCCCAGGCAGCAGUCAGACUUCAGGUGUGAGACUGAAGGGUGCAGCCAGGCUGAGAGUGUGGAUGUGGACAGACUGCUCGGCAUAUUCAGAGGUGCAGGGGAGGAGCAAGAGAGGAUGGCAGCCAGAGAAAAUGACAUCUCCUGAAAUAGCUCGCUUGCAAGAGCGUGUGUUCCUGGGACUACAGGGAAGAUUCUCACCGUCAACUUUUUCUACAGAAAAGAACAUUCACCCCAGAAACAGGAAUUCCCACAGAACGUUAUAAUACAGAAGAAAUUCAGCUGUAUCUCACAGCAUUUCCUACAACCCAAGAUAGCAUCCUUGACAGGAAUUGAGAUAGCAGACCAGACAGGGAGACACAGGUCCCUUUGGAGCAGGAGGUUGACUUGACCAAAGAGAAAAGGUCUCACAACCCUAUGGAAACUUCUUCCUGCCAUGAAGCUACAGCCUAAGGCUUUGUCUGCUCUAUUAGAUUUUUCACCCAAAUCACCACGCUUCCAAAAAGAGGAAAACCUCUGUACUGAGCUGAGAUGUGUGAUAAGAUGGGGCUGAUGCGGAUAACAUCGGGGCUCUAGCUCUGGUACAUGGGUCAUAGGACUGUCUUCUGGGCACGCCGAGCACUGCAACAUCCAACAACACGUAGAAGGGCUUAUUGGACAAAAUGCUGCCUCUGUCUCCCACAACUGGCCUUGACAUAAAACCAGCAUGAAAGAGGACUCUAUAAUUGACUGCAUUCACAUCUCCUCUGUAGUCUGAACUGAGGUGUUCAGUGGAUGAUUCACAUCUGUCAAAGAGCAUCUAGAGAGAUGGAGUUCAGUCGUUACACAAACAAGAAGCAAGUAUUUUUGCACAGAUUCAAAUCUUAUAUUUAUUUCCAUUUUAAUUGAAGUGUUUCUUGCUUAUGUAAUGCAUUUUUUUUUUAGCUUGAAGGAGUUACUUUGUAAAAGUCAACUUUUGUUUCAAAAAUUCAUCAAGUGAAUCUGAAACUGGGUCAAACUUCAGCAUUAGUGUUGGUUUUUAUGCCUUCUUGCGAUGAGAUUAUUCAGUUUAUAUGAGUUCUGGUGGCACACUGGGCUUGGUGCUUCUGCCACAAAUGUUAGGACAUUCCUGGUGUACAAAAUGUUGCCCUGCUCCUGCUUUCCCCAAGCAGUUCCCCAGUGUGGGAAAUGGCCCCUGGCCAUGGUAGAAGCUAUUGAGGAAAAUACCAUAGUAUGUUGUGAUGUCAGUACUUAAGAUAUCUCAGUCUGGGGACGUCAGCUCAUUUAAAAGGGUUUGGGGCAACUGCCUCCAAAAGCCUGGGCUUCUGUUCCUUUCCCUCACCCUGCAACAGGACCUCUGUUCCCUGUGUGGAUUCCCUUACAGGGAAAUACAGCCACUGCAGAUGCUCGGAUGAGGAUGGCUCUUGUGUAUGCAGGUCACUGCUCAUUUAGACUACAUUUUCUAAAAUGUUGUUUUGGGAAUAUUUGACCUUUGGGUGAAAGACAAUUGGAUUAACUGCUUUCAGAUGUAUUGUGUGCCCAACUCCUCUAGCACAAAAAACGUUAACCCCCUACUCCCCGAGCUUUGGCAAAAUGAUCAAUUAUUGCUAAGAGUUUUCAAAGGACACGCAGUGCCACGUAAGGUCAUUCUCAAUAAAUGUGUUUUAAAAAGAAGAAUCAUCUUUGUACAAAUGUCAAAAAUCACAUCAAAUUUUGAGGCACAAUUUAAAGGAGCAAAGCGAGGAAUCGAAGCUUCUCUUAUAGAUAAUGGGAGAGGGGAGAGCAUAUCUGGGAGGCAAUUAGUAGCAAUUCUGAGUGCUCAGUGGCUUCAAUCAAAUUGUUUGACUACUGCUCCAUUCUUCAUUUCUAUCUUCAAAGCUACUUUUGGUUACCAUACAUCAGGCCCAUGGAUGCUUCUUUAUAGUUUUGAAGGUAGAACAGUAGUGGUGUAUGUCCAUGUAUAUCCAGAAUUCAAAUGCAAGAUUUUGUCUAUAUCUGAAGUGUUAUGGGCUGGGGAGAAGGUGUAAAAUAUUGUGAAAAAUUGUUACUCUUCUGCUAGAAAACCUUUGGGGCACCGUAAUUAUAGUUCUGAGUGCCAUUUCUACAUAGCAGAAAUGGGUACACCUGGUAGGAGUGAAGUGAACCGUGUGAUGCUCCUGCAUUUUCUGGGUUCUUGUGUGAAAUCUGGGGUGCUCUGCACAGCGGUUUUAAUCCUGCAGUGCUUAUGAAUGCAGCCAUGAGCUGUUCUGCUCUCGGUGGCUCACAAAUAUCAUUCUAAAUAUCCAUUCAUAAAAUAGGACCAUCUUCAACGUUUUAACUGGCUUUAAUGUGACACUUUUUGCAGUCCUUAGCAAACAGCUUUCGACCAUAAAUGCCCAGAAGCAAGGAUUAUGAAAAACACUACAAUGGAAAGCCUGCAGCUGUAUCUAUUGUUUUGGGCCAUAGAUGUCAAGUGUGGAGGUGUUGGGUCUGAUAAAACCACUUCUUUGUCAUUUCUCUGUUUUAGUGUUAUAACACCCUUGAGAACUGAGAACUUGGUGGAUGCAUUAUGGAUUUAUGUAAAUGCCAUACCUCAAAAUGGCUCCUGUUCUCUGGAAUAGUGGAAAACUAUUUCUAAGCUGUUGGUGCAAUGCACUGCCAAGGAAAGCGAUGGGAAACGCAGCUUCUGCUGAAUUAAUUUGGAGUAGUUCUCAACAAGUUUUGAAGCUGACUUUUAAGAAAUUGUUCUCAAAAGCGUUUCUUUGAAAUUCUGGGCAAGCAGUUUUAAUGAUGGUAUCUAAUGUUAUUUUUUUUUCCCAUGUGCUGCAGCCUCAGAAUGUUCCAACACAGCUCCCUGUUGGGCUGUCCAUGGCAGUGAGCAGUGUGAGCCUGCCCUUGUGCCAGCACAGCUGAGUCAGCACAGGGAGGGCUGUGAGGUCAUCUCUUGACAGUUUGACUUCAAUUCACUCAAUUACUUGAUUAUUUGUAAUUUAAAAGUAAUUGAUUUAAACAUCCUACAGCACUCUCGUGCAAUAUAUGCACUCUCUAGUUCACUAGGAACCCCUCAUUCCUAUGCUUGAUAAUAUUCUUUAUGUAUAUUUUAGCCUACAUGUCAGAUGAGUUUUGCCAACCAUUAGGGAUUACCCAGUGCUUCCCAGCUGCCCUCUCUUGAUGUGAGGCACUCUGCAAGAUAACUCCUAAUUUCCAACCCAAGAAUAAAGUAACCAUGCUUACCUCUCUCCCCAUCUCUCCAUCCUUCCCUGCCUCCAGAUUUAACAAAGCCCCAGCACAGACAGCUGAAGUGCUCACUGGCUUUAUUCUUUGGCUGUGCUCAGAGUUUUUGCAGCAGGCUCUAAACUGUAGGAGCUGGAGUGGCUGCACACAGCCUGCAGUGAGGAUCCCUAUGCAGCCUUUCUUCAUGGAGCCUUUGCUGGUAUCUGCUGCCUGCUGGCCUUAGUUCCUGCUGCUUCUUCUUGUCCUGUCUGCAAAGCUCUGUGUCUGCGAAGAGGUAGUGAAGUUUUCUUUUUCCAUUUUAUUUCCUCCUUUAGCAGCCAGAUACGAACUACAAAUGCACAGUGGUUUCUGCUCUAGAUUUUUAGUGAAGUGGGGCACUUCACCUGAGUGGACUUGGAAUAGACUUGUGGAUGAUCCACAUAAAACCACUAAUAUUUGUGCUUUUCCAUGUUAGCUUUUGUUGGGGGAGCAGGGAAGUGCGAUGCUACAGGUGAGCAGUGCAGCAGAGCAUCUCUCCAGCUAACCUUUGGGUAGUCCUGUUGAGCAAGCCAAGCCUGUGGGAUGCCUGUCUGCGAGAGCAGUUGCUUGUUUGCUGUGAGUUCAUCUUCUAUUCUGCACGUUACUUCUUGCUCUGUAUCAGUAACACCCAGGAUUGCUUUGGGCCAGCGGAAGAGACUUCCGCUGCAAAGUACACACACACACACAAAUGCAUGAAGAAUUGCAAUGACAAGGUUGUGUUCCUUGCUGGCUGGUGAUAAAGAGGCACAGAGACACUGACCAAGCAGUCCCUUGGGGCAUUUAGGAACAUCUUUCCGCAUGUCUUAAAAUCUAUUUGGUUUGUCAUUAGUUUAUUUUUCAUUAUUGUCUAUAGUGGUUCUUAAAUAUCUUAAGAAAUAAAAAGUAAUCAUUGGUGGAAGAAAGAGGCAAGAUGGGUUGCUAAAAUGUGAAAGCUAAAAAAAGUGGGGAUCUAUCUGCUGUCGUUGCUCAUUUUAGUACUUCCUACAUCACUAGAUGCUGUGACUGAAGUAACUAGGAGCAGUUAGAAGUAAAUUGGCGUAAACACAUUCACUCUAAAGGAUGGAUUUUAAUUGCAUUCAUCUAUUGAAAUUUUACUGUCUAAUCUAAAAGCAGGCUGUCCCUUUGUGGUCCCUAAUUUGUUUCUCGUUGCCAUUCUGUGGAUCUGAGGAUGCACCCCUUGUGGUCAGGCUGGUGGUGCUGAGCUGAGCACUCACCUUAUUCAAAGACAAAUUAAAGCUUAGCAGGUUGCAUCAGGUAUGAACUUUCCAAAACAAGGAGGGCUUACAGCACAAAGCAGCAUUUUGGUCUGUGGGUACCUGAAGGUAAGCUGAGAUCUGGUAUUGGUGCAAUGUUUUACUAAGUAUGGGCCUCUGGCUCCAGCCCUGGAAGCAUUUCAAAGGCAAGUUAGCAUUUGCUGUCUCUUCAGAGGAUGGCAAGAAAGGGAAGACUAUUGCUUCUUUCAUGGGGGGAAAGAAAUAAAUGUGGCUUUAGAAAUAGUUUGAAGUGAUUUCACUAAAGUGCAGCCAACAGCUGAAAAGACCAGAGUUGUGUUCUCUGGUUUCCCCAACCCGUCUGGCAUUUGUUGCACAGCUUUCUGAUGUGAAGCUGAUAGGAAAGCCGCCCUGCUCCCCUGCAGUUGAGGCCGCUUGUGCAUAUCUGAUAAAUGCAUAUUGGUAGGCAGCAUUCAGCUAAUGUAGGAAUCCAUUUAUAGAGUCAGAUCAGCAUUCCUUCUGCUGUAUUCCUCUACUCAUAGAGCAGGGCUGCAGAGCAUGCUUCUCUUUUGCCUGUUUUCCAGAUCAUUGGGGUGAUCAGUUUCUAUAAAUGAAAACCUUCUCCUUUUAUUGUGCCACUGGUUUAAAUGACUCUGAUAUCUGAGAGAGAAAACGUAGUUCUCAGGUUCCUGGAGCCACGUUAGCCCCGUGAGUGUAGCUGUCAUUAACCCUGUAGUCCACGUGGCAAUGCUCUCCAAACAAGGUCAGUGCACUCCCAGCUAAUUCUGGAUAACUUUUACCUGCUCAGAAACCAGAGCCUCAGCGUCUCCUCUUGUCCUUUGCCUUCGAUAUGUUCCCAUUUACCCUCUGGAUGUUCCCCAACAGGCCUGAAGGAUGCUGCUCCCAGCUGCUCUGGGGGUUGCAGAACUGCCAUGGAGGAUGGAAGGGUCUCACUCAGUGCCUCUCCUCCUGCUGUCUCCCUCAGCAGCUGUUCCAUGAAGCCCCUGGAAGGAGCUCGGCUUGUUCUUAAAGAGAUUCAUUUUUAAUUUGCAGCUCUUGAAGCAAUACUUGCUCUGCCAGGUAAAAUAACAGGACUUUAACACAGAACGCGGUUACUUUACGACAGCUGCAAUACAAAGUGAGACAAUGUAUUCUAGGUCAUUCUUUCAGUCUUUUUUUUUUUUCUCCAGUGUAAUUAUUUUCCAUGGGUACCCUCACACAAUGUUUUUUUGGAAAAAACCCUUUUGAGAAUAAGCGAUAAAUAUUCGUAGCAGUCAUAACGAUGAUGAACUCUUCACUGCUGGUGUCAGCCUGAUCACCAUUGAGAACAGAGAUUUUAAUAGCAGGCUCAUUUUAAUACAUCUUCCUUUUUCUUUGAAAUGUGAAACGUGGAUGUUGACUGCUGCAGUCUCCAAACAGAAGGCAAGUUUGUGCCGGCUCUUUCCUGCAGUGCUUACUGCCCGUGACAGCUCAGUUAUAUACCAAAGCUCCUUCUGGUGGAGUUCAUUGCUUUGACAAAACUGUUUAUGGCUCAUAGAGGAGCUACACGAAUUUUUAAUCAUGAUGUCUGAGUGUGGUUCUAAGCCAGAUAUACGAAGAGGUUGGUUUGAUCACUCUUGUUGUCUGUAGUUGGAUCUGUUCACCUUGGGUUCUUCUUGUGUCUCUUUGGGACUGGCUGCUGUUGAACGUCCUUUGCCAUCAUUGUUAUUCGGUGGUGUAUGGGAGGAGCAGCAGACAGGGGCUGUGUGCUGCUGUACUCUGCCUUUGAAAAGGACAAUGUAACGUUUGGACCAGCUCCAUCUUAUUUUCCUCUGGAUAAGCUCUCGCAUUAUAUGCAAGCAUAAAACUAUGGUGGUGGAUAUUAUACUGUAAAAGAAGAAAUGCAAUGCACUAAGAGAUUUGUAGCAGCAGGUACUUUGGCUCUGAAAGAACGUCUGAAUGGCCUGUAACACGAGGGGCAAGACAGCCCAUGCCUCUGUAAAAUACGUGCUAUUGCUCUAUUUUGUUUUGCUCAGAAAUGCUGUGGCUGCUUUCCUUGUUGUUGUGGUUUAUGCAACUGCUGCACUAUAUUCUGUGAGCCAGUACCUUGCUGAAAGACCAGAGUCUGGAUCUGUGGUGUUACAGCCUCCAGGAGAAAAUUGCUCCUGCUGAUAAUGAUCUCCAAAUCCUUCUCAGAUGGUCUCAUAUGUGAGCAUCUCUGCUGUGUUACGUUGCUCUGGGAGUUUUUCAGCCUGGAUUGUUGUCAUAGAAUCAUAGAAUCGCUAAGGUUGGAAAAGACCCACAGGAUCAUCCAGUCCAACCAUUCGCCCUUCACCAAUGGUUCUCGCUAAACCAUGUCCCUCAACACAACAUCCAAACACUCU